rnacentral:rRNA from 1 species
CAGUAGCCACGGGAAUACGAAGGGUGCAAGCGUUAAUCGGAAUUAUUGGGCGUAAAGCGUGCGUAGGCGGUGAGUUAAGUCUGCUGUGAAAUCCCCGGGCUCAACCUGGGAAUGGCAGUGGAUACUGGCUCGCUAGAGUGUGUCAGAGGAUGGUGGGAUUCCCGGUGUAGCGGUGAAAUGCGUAGAGAUCGGGAGGAACAUCAGUGGCGAAGGCGGCCAUCUGGGACAACACUGACGCUGAGGCACGAAAGCGUGGGGAGCAAACAGGAUUAGAUACCCCAGUAGUCCCUGUCUCUUAUAC